rnacentral:rRNA from 1 species
CCCGGGCCGUUGUACACACCGCCCGUCAAGUCACGAAAGUCGGUAACACCCGUAAGCCAGUGGCCCAACUCGUAAGAGGGGGAGCUGUCGAAGGUGGGACUGGCGAUUGGGACU